rnacentral:pre_miRNA from 1 species
UGUGUACUCCCUCCGUUCCAAAAUACUUGACUUUCAUUUGUCCAAAAAUGGAUGUACCUAUAUACUAAGACAUGUCUAGAUACAUAUAUAUUUUGACAAAUAGAAGGCAUGUAUUGUGCAACGGAGGGAGUAAAUG